rnacentral:tRNA from 1 species
GGGGAUUUAGCUCAGUGGUUGAGCACUUGCCUAGCAAGCACAAGGCCCUGGGUUCGGUCCCCAGCUCCG